ACGGGAAAUCCCAUUCUACUGUAAGUGUCAAUCUUUUGAGAAUGUGGCUUGUACACGCGUAACAUCUGGCACUCAGGAUCCAGCCAAGCGGGCUGCAAGAGAUGCUUGCUACCGGCUCUUUUCUUUUUCACUUUCGCAAAGUUACUUCGUGGCCAUAGCCUGUUUACGUAACGCUAACGACACAGCCAUUAUACAAACUGUUGGAUAAAGCCUGGAUAUUAGCGAUGCCUGAAGGUCGUACUCCAGUUGGUAUCGCAAGUCGAGCACCUUGACCACUACGAAUUCGCCGAGCGCAGCGAACACGAACAUCAUGCAACCCGCCAUCCACACAUCCAGCGCCUGCGGCCCACAAAAUAUCCGACGAGGGAUUAGCGAGAUCCGCAGAUAGUCUUGAACCUGAAUGAAAAGGCCAAGGAAACGUACUUUCACGUACGCGACUGGCGGAAUGUCGCUUUUAAGACCAGUGAACAUCGUGACUAGGGUGAGCAUGCUG